UUGGAAAGGCAGUUCCCUGCAGCCCCCGCGGUCCCACCGGUGCCGCCCGCAGUUGACAACUUCUUGGCCACCGCCCGGCUCCAACCCGCCUCAGCAGCCAGGGCGGCAGCCGCGGCGGCAGUGAGAGGGGCCGCAUUCGUACGGAACAACCAGCCCUGCGAUCAAAGUACCGCCCACACCGCGGCCAAAAACCGUAACUAUUCCGUGUUGUACAAUUAUCUAUAUGUCUACGAGCUUCCGUACCUUUACCACCGCAGUAAUAAAAGACGCAUCGGUCUGGAGGCGCUUCCAAACCGAAGCAGUGGAUGUCUAGCGGAUGGAACUUCAGGAAGAGCCAUUGCCUUGGCGCCGGUACCUACCCACCUAACUACCUAACUACCUAGAGGCGACUUACCACGCCGUACACAUGGGAGAAACAUGGCCGUUGGAUUGGCCAGGCUGCCCAUUUGCACCCUUCCCGUGCUCUUGCAGUCGUACACAGUCGUAUACAUAUAAUACCCAGAUGUACCUUUUCCGAGGCAGUCCUCGCCAGCUGCAUCGCCUGCUCUUGCUUGGUGCUCUCAAACAUCACAAACAUGUACGACAGCCCGUCACCACCGCCGGUAGGAGUAGCAGCAGUAGCGGGCUGUUUCACUCCCGUUGUGAGCAGUAGCGGCGACUGCUGCUGCUGUCCCUG
rnacentral:lncRNA from 1 species